CGAUUUUUAUAAUAAAGAGACCUAUGAAAGAGUUGUAAAAUAUGUGUGUAAUAAGCCCAAUUGGCCCGGGCUCACACAAAACAAAGUAGGCAGUCUGUUUUUUGUAAUAACAGGCCUAAACCCAUCUAAGGCCCAAAUUUUUACAAGCCCAACAAGUAGCCCAUAACAUUUUCAGCAGAAAAAAACAAAAAACCCUAGAGCAGCAAGCUUGACGCCGCAGCGCCGCUCCCACGCACAGCAAGUCCCCACCUUCGGCAGUUCCAAGCGCCACACGUCUCGGAGACCGACUCCCCACGCGCGCCGUGCUCUCCGCAACGAACCUGCAAACACGGAUUCAAAGAAUCCGAAAGAAAAAAAAUAGCAAAAACAUAUUAUACUUGAUUUGUUUUGUUUUUUUUCGGGCUAUAUAUACAAGGCCAUUAGUUUUGUAAAGGGGGGGAUUUCAGUGUAAAAAGCAUACGAGAAUAGGGGGAAGAGAACAGAUCCGAAAAUUUUUGGAAUAAAAAGGUUUUUUUUUUAUUUCUUUUUGGUUCAUCAUUCUUGGUGAUUCGUUUUUCAUUUUUGUUUUAUUUUUUUUGCUUAAAAUAUAAAAAGGAAGAAGGGAAACUUACCUAAUCGCCGGAGUCGUCGAAUUGGCGCCACCUCCGUCAUGGUCGGAGCCUUGGCGUAGGAUUGGCGGCACCGACGGCAUGGAAUAAUGAAACCUUAGCAGAGGGUUUCUCUGGUAUUUAGAA
rnacentral:lncRNA from 1 species